rnacentral:rRNA from 1 species
AACUACAAAGGAAGUUGACGGGGCCCGGCACAAGCGGAGGAACAUGUGGUUUAAUUCGAUGAUACGCGAGGAACCUUACCUGGGCUUAAAUGGGGAGUGACAGCUGUCGAAAGAUGGUUUUCUUCGGACACUCUUCAAGGUGCUGCAUGGUUGUCGUCAGCUCGUGCCGUGAGGUGUCGGGUUAAGUCCCAUAACGAGCGCAACCCUUACCGUUAGUUACCAUCAGGUUAAGCUGGGGACUCUAGCGGGACUGCCACCGUAAGGUGAGAGGAAGGUGGGGAUGACGUCAAAUCAGCACGGCCCUUAUGUCCAGGGCUACACACGUGUUACAAUGGCCGGUACAAAGGGCAGCUACUUCGCGAGAAGAUGCUAAUCUCGAAAGCCGGUCUCAGUUCGGAUCGAAGUCUGCAACCCGACUUCGUGAAGCUGGAUUCGCUAGUAAUCGCGCAUCAGCCAUGGCGCGGUGAAUACGUUCCCGGGCCUU